rnacentral:rRNA from 1 species
GACGAACGCUGGCGGCGCGCUUAACACAUGCAAGUCGAACGGAAAGGCCUGCUUUCCCUUGUGGAUUGCGGGUACUCGAGUGGCGAACGGGUGAGUAACACGUGAGUGAUCUGCCCCCAACUUGGGUAUAAGCCUGGGAAACUGGGUCUAAUUCCCGAUAGGACUGCAGGGUGGUGCCUGUGGUGGAAAACGAUUUUCUAGUGGUUGGGGAUGAGCUCGCGGCCUAUCAGCUUGUUGGUGGGGUAAUGGCCUACCAAGGCGGCGACGGGUAGCCGGCCUGAGAGGGUGGACGGCGACAUUGGGACUGAGAUCCGGCCCAGACUCCUACGGGAGGCAGCAGUGGGGAAUAUUGGACAAUGGGCGGAAGCCUGAUGCAGCGACGCCGCGUGGGGGAUGACGGCCUUCGGGUUGUAAACUCCUUUCGACCGCGAGGAAGCCACCUGGUUGGAAGGGUGGUGACGGUAGUGGUAGAAGAAGCACCGGCUAACUACGUG